rnacentral:rRNA from 1 species
GUGGGGAAUAUUGGGCAAUGGGGGAAACCCUGACCCAGCAACGCCGCGUGAAGGAAGAAGGUUUUCGGAUCGUAAACUUCUAUCCUUGGUGAAGAUAAUGACGGUAGCCAAGAAGGAAGCCCCGGCUAACUACGUGCCAGCAGUCGCGGUAAUACGUAGGGGGCAAGCGUUGUCCGGAAUGAUUGGGCGUAAAGGGCGCGUAGGCGGCCUGGUAAGUCUGGAGUGAAAGUCCUGCUUUUAAGGUGGGAAUUGCUUUGGAUACUGUCGGGCUUGAGUGCAGGAGAGGUAAGCGGAAUUCCCGGUGUAGCGGUGAAAUGCGUAGAGAUCGGGAGGAACACCAGUGGCGAAGGCGGCUUACUGGACUGUAACUGACGCUGAGGCGCGAAAGUGUGGGGAGCAAACAGGAUUAGAAACCCUUGUAGUCC